rnacentral:lncRNA from 1 species
AAGCAUCCUGCAAGUAAAUGUCUAGAACACCCAGUGAAUAGAUUUGCCACCCAAUUCCCUCCAAGAUCCUGGUUGGGAUGAUAUUAAACAUCGGGGUUCUCAGAACACAUCUGAAGAAAACCUCGGGCCUUCUCUAAAGAUCAUGCCGAAGUCUCCGGAUCGAUUAAACCCUAAUCAAUGCCACAGACCCUGAAGAGCCUACAAUGGUUACUCACCCCAGAAUCUCCUUUGGGGGCCAGCGAUCCAGGAAAACAUCAUGAUUUUGAAGAUGUUUUACAGAC